rnacentral:misc_RNA from 1 species
ACCAGCCAACACCAAAGCUAAUGACAGGAAAUGCAAACUGAUUGAGCCUUAAAAUUCAAUAUGAAGGAACAAAUAAUUAAAUAUACUUAAGUUAAUGCAUUCAUCAAUAUUUUUAGUAAGUUUACUAGCUCUUAGGGGCUUAAGUGCCAAACAACAACAAAAUCAGAAAGAUGAGGGCCAAAUGGCUCCACUCUUAACGAGGAGUAAGAUCUGAAAGAACAAACACAAACAAACUGAUAUAGCACAAUAUAAAUAACGUAAUUCUACUUAACAGCCCCUGCUCAUGGCAAGGAGAUAAAGUAAGCUUCAACAAGAUAUAAGAGGAUUACAGGACACCCAAUUAUAUGCCCCAGUUACCCAGUCUUUGCACUGACUUCUUCCUUAAAACCCCAAAGAAUUCUCAUACACAUCUCCACCUAAAUAACCCACCAAAAAAAGGAGACAAUAUUCUUAACAUCACAAUUCCAACAUUCCGAUAAUUAGUAAGAGUUUCUGUGCCUCUGCUUCGAUUUCAUGGGCCAUCUUGCUGUAGAAACUCUUA